UGGAGGUUGGCCGAGUGGUCUAAGGCGGCAGACUUAAGAUCUGUUGGACGGUUGUCCGCGCGAGUUCGAACCUCGCAUCCUUCAG
rnacentral:tRNA from 1 species